AGAGCGAACGCUGGCGGCAGGCUUAACACAUGCAAGUCGAGCGGGCGUAGCAAUACGUCAGCGGCAGACGGGUGAGUAACGCGUGGGAACGUACCUUUUGGUUCGGAACAACCCAGGGAAACUUGGGCUAAUACCGGAUAAGCCCUUACGGGGAAAGAUUUAUCGCCGAAAGAUCGGCCCGCGUCUGAUUAGCUAGUUGGUGAGGUAAUGGCUCACCAAGGCGACGAUCAGUAGCUGGUCUGAGAGGAUGAUCAGCCACAUUGGGACUGAGACACGGCCCAAACUCCUACGGGAGGCAGCAGUGGGGAAUAUUGGACAAUGGGCGCAAGCCUGAUCCAGCCAUGCCGCGUGAGUGAUGAAGGUCCCUAGGGUUGUAAAGCUCUUUUGUGCGGGAAGAUAAUGACGGUACCGCAAGAAUAAGCCCCGGCUAACUUCGCGCCAGCAGCCGC
rnacentral:rRNA from 1 species